rnacentral:rRNA from 1 species
GUUUGAUCCUGGCUCAGGAUGAACGCUGGCGGCGUGCUUAACCAAUGCAAGUCGAACGGAUCGGCUAGAGUUGGAAGCCUUGGAGAGGGCGAAAGAUGAGAAAUCGUUAGACGCUCAGGAAGGGGCAGAAGACUCGGUGCCGGUCAGUGGCGGACGGGUGAGUAACACGUGGGAAUCUGCCCUGAAGUGGGGAAUAACUGAUCGAAAGGUCGGCUAAUUCCGCAUGUGCUCUGGAAAGAGGAAAGGGGAAACUCGCUUCAGGAGGAGCCCGCGGCCGAUUAGCUAGUUGGUGAGGUAAAGGCCCACCAAGGCGAGGAUCGGUAGCUGGUCUGAGAGGACGAUCAGCCACACUGGAACUGACACACGGUCCAGACUCCUACGGGAGGCAGCAGGGAGGAAUAUUGCGCAAUGGGGGAAACCCAGACGCAGCAACGCCGCGUGAGCGAAGAAGGCCUUCGGGUUGUAAAGCUCUUUUCUGGGGGAUGAGCAAGGACGGUACCUCAGGAAUAAGUCUCGGCUAACUACGUGCCAGCAGCCGCGGUAAAACGUAGGAGGCGAGCGUUAUCCGGAUUUACUGGGCGUAAAGGGCAAGUAGGCGGUGGUCAAAGUUGGGUGUAACAUCUCCCGGCUCAACUGGGAGGGGCCACUCAAAACUAGGCGACUAGAGGGCAGGAGAGGUAAGCGGAAUUCCUAGUGUAGCGGUGGAAUGCUCAGAUAUUAGGAAGAACACCAGUGGCGAAGGCGGCUUACUGGCCUGCACCUGACGCUGAGAGGCGAAAGCUAGGGGAGCGAAAGCCGACCGACCCUUCGGGGAGCAUACACAGGUGCUGCAUGGCUGUCGUCAGCUCGUGCCGUGAGGUGUAGGGUUAAGUCCCACAACGAGCGCAACCCUCGUUGCCAGUUAAAACUUUCUGGCGAGACUGCCGGCGUAUAACCGGAGGAAGGUGGGGAUGACGUCAAGUCAGCAUGGCCUUUAUAUCCAGGGCUACACACACGCUACAAUGGUCGGUACAGAGGGGGGCAAAGCCGCGAGGUGGAGCAAAUCUCAAAAAGCCGGCCUCAGUUCAGAUUGCAGGCUGCAACUCGCCUGCAUGAAGUCGGAGUUGCUAGUAACCGCAGGUCAGCUAUACUGCGGUGAAUACGUUCCCGGGCCUUGUACACACCGCCCGUCACGUCAUGGAAGCUGGCAAUACCUGAAGUCGGUGAGCUAACCGCAAGGGGGCAACUGCCUAAGGUAGGGCUGGUAACUGGGACGAAGUCGUAACAAGGUAGCCGUACCGGAAGGUGCGGCUG